rnacentral:tRNA from 1 species
GAGCCCGUGGCGCAAUUGAAUAGCGCGGCGGACUUCUAAUCAGCAGGUUGUGGGUUUGACUCCCACCGAGCUCG